UUACAAUAGUAUUCAGUAUUCAGUAUAUAUAUUACGGUAAUUAACUAAUUUACAAAAUAAAUAUAGUAUAUAGAAUAUUCAACAAAAUAAGAUUUUAUAUCGCAAUAAAGCACUUGAAGUAUUAGUACUAUCAUUAAAUAUCCAGCAUAAAUAACAGAUAACAGGUAACAUCAAUAAAAUUAAGGACAACAAUGGUUUAAAACUGAGUAACUGCAGUAGAAAAGAAGACACACUUUAAGCAAAGUCAAGAUAUAAAAUUAUAUUGCACUUAAGCAGAUUUUAAAACUCGUUGAAGUGAACUCAGAGAACAAUGAAACAAAUCUAUACUGACACUAUUUGAGGUAAUCAUCAUUCUACCUAUCGCACAGUUUUCACCAUACAGUGUACGAUGUUGUUCAAGGUAUAAUAAUCUAGUCUGUCUGAGAAAUGUAGUAGGAGGAACAUUUAAAUUAAGCUGACACAACAACUCAGGAGACUGUAUUACAUUGUUAAGAAUCUUGUAUGUUGUGAUAAUAUCGCAGUUUUUACGUCGAGUCUCCAACUUUUCAAUGUUCAGCAAUCUAUACAUUUCACUGUAAUUAAUAUCAAUACAAGGAAUAUUAAGCUUGUAAGCAAUGUAUCUUAUGAAAUGAAAUGUAACCAAUGAAAAACACAGAAGUUUGAUGGAAUCAAUACUGCUGAAAUCAUGAGUGUGCCUCUUAAUAAAACCCAACAUUUUGUAAGCCUUAUUACACAGAUUUUCAAUAUUUUUUGAAAAAGUCACGUAUCUCUGAUACCUUCUCAAUAAGUGAACUCAUUAGAUGGUACUGAUGAAAUGGUGGACUAAAACUCCUGCAUAAUUCAAAUUUGUGAAGAUCAGAACAAAGUUACUGUCUAUAAUUCUAAAAAUCUUAACAUCAUCAGCAAAAAGCAACACAUUACAAUAAUCAAAACAAUGAACGACAUCAUUAAUAAAAAAAAGAUUAAAUAAAAAAGGGGCAAGGUGGGCACCCUGAGGAACCCCAGAAGUCACCGGAAAAGGACUAGAAUAAAAGUUAUUUAUCUUUACAAUCUGUGUUCUUCCAGACAGAUAUGACUUUAACCAGGCCAAAAGACAACCACCAAUGCCAUAGAGUGACAACUUUGCAACCAGGAGAGAAUGAAUGAAUCAACCAUAGACUUAUAACCAAGGAUAGACCAAACUACUCAUUCAUAAAUCGCAAUAAGUAGCGAUCAGUCAUGGAAAUUUAGGAAAAGCGAUAAACUAUCGUUUGGCAACGUCGCACCGUCCGCUGCAGCGACUGCUGCUCUGAUGUCGCCGUGAAACACGCAUGCCUCAAUGUAUCGAUUUUUCAUUUCGGUCAUUUCGUUUCAACAGCCAUAGGCGUAGUUAAUUUUUUGUAAUACUAUUUUUUCUUUUCAAUAUAUUAUUUAUUUUAA